AUUUAGAGCUGAAUCCAGCUUGAAUGUUGUGUCCAUACUUGCCUCAACCGUUCAGGGUUCAACCUCUGCGGUCGUUUAAAGCUGCGCCCUGCGGAGCAUCUGGUUAUAUACAUGUUUGUACAUGUACUGUACAUGUUUUCUGCCCUUUGGUUGGGUUGCUGUUUCUUGUACACAUUCCCUAUUUCCAUUUCUCAAUUUUAUAGUCUUAAAUGAGCAUUUUCAAAUAACUGUGAAGUAUGUUCUGUAAGUAUGAUCACAUACAUCUUGGAGGAUUAUUAUUAAUCCUGUUUGCCUUAUUGUUUACACUUUCUCCUCAUAUGUCUAUCCAUCUGUCUGUCAUAGCAAAUCUUGUGCUAAUUCAAGUUAAUAAAAAAAAAAGAUGAUGUGGUAUGAUUGCCAAUGAGACAAAUCUCCACGAGAGACCAAAAUGUCACAGAAAUUAACAACUACAGGUCACCGAACGGCCUUCAACAAUGAGCAAAGCCCAUACUGCAUAGUCAGCUAUAAAAGGCCCCGAAACGACAAUGUAAAACAAUUCAAACAAGAAAACUAACGGCCUUAUUUAUAUAAAAAAAAAUGAGUGAAAAACAAAUACGUAACAAACGACAACCACUGAAUUACAGGCUCCUGACUUGGGACAGACACAUUCAUGCAUAUAAAUGUGGCUGGGUUAAACAUGUUAGCGGGAUCCCAACCCUCCCCUAACCUGGGACAGUGGUGUAACAGUACAACAUAAGCCUUGCAUAUCUUCAUUGCAUUUUACAAAAUGUGUGACACUACUAAGGAAAGCUUUAUUAUGAUUUGGAUGAUAAACAAAUUUGUGUUUCCAAGUUAAGGGAUGUAAUUGUUGUAUUUUUAUAGAUAACGUUGAGCAUAUGUUGUACCAAAUCAAAUUUGCUUUAGUGAAAUAAAUACAAUUCCUAUAAAAAUGUAUAUACAUGAUUUACAUAUUUGGUCCAAAAACUUCUCUUGAU
rnacentral:lncRNA from 1 species